rnacentral:rRNA from 1 species
AUGAGGGAUAUUGCACAAUGGGCGAAAGCCUGAUGCAGCGACGCCGCGUGGGUGACGAAGUCCUUCGGGAUGUAAAGCCCUUUUCUGGGGGAAGAGAACGGACGGUACCCCAGGAAUAAGCCCCGGCUAACUACGUGCCAGCAGCCGCGGUAAUACGUAGGGGGCAAGCGUUGUCCGGAAUUACUGGGCGUAAAGCGCGUGUAGGCGGGACGACAAGUCCGGCGUGAAAGGCUCGGGCUCAACCCGAGACGGCCGUUGGAAACUGUCGUUCUUGAGGGUCGAAGAGGAGAGUGGAAUUCCUGGUGUAGCGGUGAAAUGCGUAGAGAUCAGGAGGAACACCCAUGGCGAAGGCAGCUCUCUGGUCGACCUCUGACGCUGAGACGCGAAAGCGUGGGGAGCGAACGG